ACAUGGAUAAAAGGGUGAGUUUUCAUGGAAAACAUGAAAUUGUCUGGAUGACCCCACACCUUUGAAUGGAAGGUCAACUUUCACUUGGUACAGUUUGUCUUUACAAACUGAUCUUUACAUAUAAAAAGAGAAGAGAAUACGAUAAUUAUUUACAUCCCCCUGCAUUUUGUGGAGCUUUUUUGGUACAAAGUGUGUCUCUGUUGCAGAAAAUCUAUUUCAAGCAUGUUUUUUCUUUUUUGCAUGUUUUAGGGAGCUAAGAUGUGUAGAAAUGACAGCCAGGCACUGGAAAUAAUCAGUUUUCUGGUUCUUAUCAUGGCAGCUGGCUGUGAUCAACAGACACCAGAACAAACAGCAGACAACUAGAGAAGAAAGCCUCCCCUCUGCACAGGUCAGGUAUCUCUGAGACGUCACUAAAAAACAAGACUGCAGCAGGCAGCUGGAGAACUAUUUCCUUGUAGAUUCUCAAUGAAGGAAUCAAAACUAUGAAUGAACACAGAUGGAAUUAUGUAGUGAAGAAAAAAGUGUGAAAUAAAUCAGAAUAUGUUUUAUAUUUUGAAUUGUUUGCUUUGAUUCCUGCUUUGAACACUCUUGUUAUUCUCUGGAUGAGCUUCAUGAUGUAGAACCUGAAAUGGUUCUCCAACAGUCUUGAAGGAGUUCCAGAGAUGCUGAGACCUUGUUGGUCCUUUUUCCUUCACUCUGUGGUCCAUCUCAUCCCAAACCAUCUGGCCUGUGAAGGCCAGAUCAUCUCCAUCAUCUCCUUCUGGGUCAGAUAGUCCUUCCACAGCCUGGUAUGAGCAGCAUGAAGAGUAUAUUAGUAUUAUCAUUAACAAUAAUAGUUGUUAGGUUCGGGAUCGGGCUGUUUCUGAACGUGUUGAUGGGCUGCUUUUACGAGUGCUAUCAGGCUGAUCGGCAGAGUGUCUCCUAUAGAAGCUCUCCUCAACAGUGGACUGACUGCCCCCUUGUUGUGACCCUUUUUGAAAGGAUUCCUGUCUGCAGCCUUGGAGGCUUCGUGGAAGACGGACAGAAGCACCGAGAGACUUGGAGCUGGGGUUCCCAGUUUUCUUUUUGGUAAAAUGAAGUGUUCAGCUUUGUUGUGAGUUUGAUUUUUUUUAACCCUGCUCACCCCUGAUCCAAAAGAGGCUGCAUAGCUUUGUAACUGAGUCCUAGGCUCUUUUGAACAUCGCUGGCAUUGUCGGCUUUUAUAUAUUUCUAGGAAGUCGGAUUCUAAAUUUUCUCACACGCAGGGCAACAAGAACGCGAGAGUCAGAGUUCGGUUUAAAGACUUUAUUACAACACAAGCAAAUCCAGGAAUUAAGUGAAAAUGCUGAACUCACAGAAGCGAAGCUACAGGAAACUGAAGUGCUGCUAAACUAUAAAGCAACUAGAAAAUAGAUAAACAAACGAUGUUAGAGUUUAUUUUUUAAGGCACUGCCAGCUGAACACUGAAACUGAUGUCACAUGUAUCACAAUAUUGAUAUUAAUAACAUUUAUUGUGUAAUUUAUUGUGUUGACUUGAAUAGAGGGAGAGCAUUAACCCAGGUUCUGAAGGGUUAAAUACAUGAUGGAUGCAGACAGGUCAGGACACACACACACCAGGACAAAGAGUGAUUACACACACACACACACACACACACACACACACACACACACACACACACACACACACACACACACACACACACACCAGUCCAAAGUGAUUUCAGUUCAAAGACCACCACCUCCGAUUGGCUCCUAUUUCCUUAUAAGGAAAAAGAUUAAUUACACUGAAACUGCUAAACUCAAGGUUGUUUAAGGAUGGAAACCAUAAUUAUCCUCCUUCCUAUGAGACACCACCAGUAGCUGCAUCACAUCACAGCUAACAAAGGAUCAAGAUUGACAGGUAGAGAGAGGGAAGAGGGUUCCAGGAGGUUCGUUUUACAGGAUGGUUCCUGGAUAUUGGAUGAAUCCUGUGCCAAGAGAUAUGGACAUAUCUGUGGACCAACUGAUGGGAGAACUAAAUCUACACGGUUUAUUCCCACCUUUAGCCAAUCACUGUUCAAUAUUUGAAUUUUCUGUUUGUGUUCUAUAACCAAUCACAUUUCACCAUGCUGUAUACAAUGUUCUGUUCAUA
ensembl:lncRNA